rnacentral:rRNA from 1 species
AUGAGUCUCCGCCCAAAAGACGCUUAGAUCAUGCUUCUAGGCGCCGCCCAAGGAUGGGGCCGCGACCGAUCAGGUUGUUGGUGAGGUAACGGCCCACCAAGCCUUUAACCGGUGCGGGCCGCGGGAGCGGGAGCCCGGAGAUGGGCACUGAGACAAGGGCCCAGGCCCUACGGGGCGCAGCAGUCGCGAAAACUUUGCAAUAAGCGAAAGCUUGACAGGGCUAUCCCGAGUGCCAUCCGCUGAGGAAGGCUUUUACCCAGUCUAGAACGCCGGGGGAAUAAGGAGAGGGCAAGUCUGGUGUCAGCCGCCGCGGUAAUACCAGCUCUUCGAGUGGUGUGGAUGUUUAUUGGGCCUAAAGCAUCCGUAGCUGGCUAGGUUAGUCUCCUGUUAAAUCCACCGAAUUAAUCGUUGGAUUGCGGGGAUACUGCUUAGCUAGGGGACGAGAGAGGCAGACGGUAUUUCCGGGGUAGGGGUGAAAUCCUAUAAUCCCGGGAAGACCACCAGUGGCGAAGGCUGUCUGCUAGAACGCGCCCGACGGUGAGGGAUGAAAGCUGGGGGAGCGAACCGGAUUAGAUACCCGGGUAGUCCCAGCUGUAAACGAUGCAGACUAGGUGUUUGGACGGCCACGUGCCGUUCUAGUGCCGCAGGGAAGCUGUUA